rnacentral:rRNA from 1 species
GACGAACGCUGGCGGCGUGCUUAACACAUGCAAGUCGAACGGAAAGGCCCUGCUUUUGUGGGGUGCUCGAGUGGCGAACGGGUGAGUAACACGUGAGUAACCUGCCCUUGACUUUGGGAUAACUUCAGGAAACUGGGGCUAAUACCGGAUAGGAGCUCCUGCUGCAUGGUGGGGGUUGGAAAGUUUCGGCGGUUGGGGAUGGACUCGCGGAUUAUGAGCUUGUUGGUGGGGUAGUGGCUUACCAAGGCAUUGGCGGGUAGCCGGCCUGGGAGGGUGACCGGCCACAUUGGGACUGAGAUACGCCCCAGACUCCUACGGGAGGCAGCAGUGGGGAAUAUUGCACAAUGGGCGGAAGCCUGAUGCAGCAACGCCGCGUGCGGGAUGACGUCCUGCGGGGUGUAAACCGCUUUCGCCUGUGACGAAGCGUGAGUGACGGUAAUGGGUAAAGAAGCACCGGCUAACUACGUG